AGCGAAAUUCCUUGUCGGGUAAGUUCCGACCUGCACGAAUGGCGUAACGAUGGCCACACUGUCUCCACCCGAGACUCAGUGAAAUUGAAAUUGCGGUUAAGAUGCCGUAUACCCGCGGCUAGACGGAAAGACCCCGUGAACCUUUACUACAGCUUCACAUGGGACUUUGAUCUUAUCUGUGUAGGAUAGCUGGGAGACUGAGAAGCGGGGGCGCUAGCCCUCGUGGAGUCGUCCUUGAAAUACCAGCCUGGUAAUAUUGAGGUUCUAACUCAGGUCCGUUAUCCGGAUCGAGGACAGUGUGUGGUGGGUAGUUUGACUGGGGCGGUCUCCUCCCAAAGAGUAACGGAGGAGCACGAAGGUGCGCUAAUCAUGGUCGGAAAUCAUGAGGUUAGUGUAAAGGCACAAGCGCGCUUGACUGCGAGACUGACAAGUCGAGCAGGUACGAAAGUAGGUCUUAGUGAUCCGGUGGUUCUGUAUGGAAGGGCCAUCGCUCAACGGAUAAAAGGUACUCCGGGGAUAACAGGCUGAUACCGCCCAAGAGUUCACAUCGACGGCGGUGUUUGGCACCUCGAUGUCGGCUCAUCACAUCCUGGGGCUGAAGCCGGUCCCAAGGGUAUGGCUGUUCGCCAUUUAAAGUGGUACGCGAGCUGGGUUCAGAACGUCGUGAGACAGUUUGGUCCCUAUCUGCGGUGGGCGUUGGAAAUUUGAGGGGAGCUGCUCCUAGUACGAGAGGACCGGAGUGGACGUACCUCUGGUGUUCCGGUUGUCACGCCAGUGGCAUUGCCGGGUAGCUAUGUACGGAUGGGAUAACCGCUGAAAGCAUCUAAGCGGGAAGCCUUCCUCAAGAUUAGAUUUCCCUGGACCCGUGAGGUCCCUGAAGGUUUGUUGAAGACUACGACGUUGAUAGGCUGGGUGUGGAAGUGCAGUAAUGCAUGAAGCUUACCAGUACUAAUUGACCGUGAGGCUUGACCAU
rnacentral:rRNA from 1 species